CUUUCUUCACUCCGAGCGCCCCACCCUCCUCUCCCUUCCGCUAUGACCCAUGAGCGCCCGACUCUCUCUCUCUCUCUCUCUCUCCCCUGUUCUUCGUCCGAUGCCCUCCUCGCUCCUGCAUCUUCUCCUUCGUCCAUGUCGACUACCGUCCAUGUCGACAAAUCAACCGCAUCCCGGGACCCUAAUCCUGCGGCCCCUCAUCUCAGAUCUUGAUUCCCCGACCGGCUCGGCGUGCAACUGCUCAUCGAUUCUAUGCUGGCCUUGAGGAUCCACCGCAAGAUCCACACCGUUCUCCCUCCCUCACUUUUGCCUCUAUUUUUUUCUCGGUUGUUUUAGGGUUUGUCCAUGUUUUACGCAGGUAAGAACAAGAGGAGGUGCUGACCUAGAGCCGAUGAAGAAGGAGACCAUCACGAGGGAGUACAUCGUCAUCCUUGACAUGCGCCUCCAUCGAUGACUCGUGUAACCCGUGUCCCGUGCCUGUGGUUGUGUGCUCGGGGCCGACUUGAUGGUCUUCGGAUAGGCAUACGGUUGUGGUGAUGUUACUGGUUGCUGCAGUUGGUGGCUCUAUUGGUCUCCCGGAGCGGCGGUGGAAGCAUCUUCUUCGACUUAGGCGCACUAGCUCCGUUUGUGUGAUGUUAGGUGUUAGGUGACGACGUCCUUCCAUCAUCACCUGCCACUUGGCAACUCAUUUUAUUUUUGUACCAAGUACAUCUACUUCAACUAUACUCUAGCUUUUAUGUACAGAAGAAGUGGAAAAGUGGAAGACAGACGAUGCUAUGGUUUCGCAAUUUGCUGUUACGUGUGAACAAUUUAGUUUUGUGUUCUUUAAUGUGUUCCAUUGAAGCCACAGUGGUUGUAUUGGUCGUACAGUACCGACACUUGUUGGAUUUGUAGUGGAGUUGAAGGC